rnacentral:rRNA from 1 species
CCUACGGGUGGCAGCAGUGGGGAAUAUUGCGCAAUGGGGGCAACCCUGACGCAGCCAUGCCGCGUGAAUGAAGAAGGCCUUCGGGUUGUAAAGUUCUUUCGGUAGCGAGGAAGGCAUUUAGUUUAAUAGACUAGGUGAUUGACGUUAACUACAGAAGAAGCACCGGCUAACUCCGUGCCAGCAGCCGCGGUAAUACGGAGGGUGCGAGCGUUAAUCGGAAUAACUGGGCGUAAAGGGCACGCAGGCGGUGACUUAAGUGAGGUGGGAAAGCCCCGGGCUUAACCUGGGAAUUGCAUUUCAUACUGGGUCGCUAGAGUACUUUAGGGAGGGGUAGAAUUCCACGUGUAGCGGUGAAAUGCGUAGAGAUGUGGAGGAAUACCGAAGGCGAAGGCAGCCCCUUGGGAAUGUACUGACGCUCAUGUGCGAAAGCGUGGGGAGCAAACAGGAUUAGAUACCCUUGUAGUC